CAGAAGCAGACUUUGGCUCAAGAAGACUUACUGGUAAUGAUCUCAGCUUUUACGGCAAGGAUUGGUGUGAAUUCCUGGGAGCUGGUGAUGAAAGGGCCUUCCUCUUUGGGCUUCGAUCAGUCCUCUUGGACCUCCCAUAAGAGCCACCCCUCAGUGUGCCUUGAACAAAUUCAUUGGAACUCAUCAUCUUUAUACCCUUCACCAAACUGCUCCUCCACGUGUACUCUGUACCUCAGGUAAGGUACCAUUGCCCUGGUGUCCAAGUCAGAAACCCAGCAGACAUUCCACACCACAGUCUGUUGUUCCCAAUAUCCAAUCACCAAUUCUGAUUUUACCUCUAGGAUACUGUGUUUCUCCUUCUAGCUUCUUUUCUGUCCCUUUCUACACUACUUUCCUAGUUUAGAUCAUUAAUACCUAUUGUAAUCGGUUUUCUGGUCUCAAAAGUAAGUGUCCUCUUGAAACAGUGACCCAUGCUAUGAUUACAGUUUGCAUUUAGAAGUAAAGUCUGUUUCACUAAUUUAUUUACUUAGAAAAUAUUUGUGUGAUAGAUGUGCUAAGUGUUGGAAAUUUGGGGAUGAGUAGAGAUGCUCUUGUCUUCUCCUGUUGCUUCCAGAGUAGAGAAGUACAGAUCCAUGGGCGCAAUGAUAAAAUUAUUACAAAGAAGGCACUUAGCUUAUCAUAGGGGGAGGGUCACAGAAACUCCCUGGAGAAUGUAACACCUAAGUUUAGCCGCAAAUGAUUAAUAGGUGUUACCAGGAAAAAGAAAAGGGAGGAGAGACAACCAGGGAAAGAUGUGUCAGAUUAUAUGUGCAAGUUCUAGAAGCAAGAGAGAGCAGAAAGAGCUAGAAGAGCUCAGAAUAAUGUAGUGUGGAGGAAGCAGAAGGUGAAAUCAGUGGUCAGGUAAUGGGGACUCCUAGAGGACUUUACGGCUUGGCUGAUCAAGUGUGUUUGGGAAAAAUUAAUCUUCUAGUUGUUUUGCGAAUGCACUUGAGGUUAAGCCUGGAAGCAACUUAGCCGUUUGUUAAGAGACUUUACUGAGCCGAAGAAGUCGCUGUAGAUGUGGAGUGAUGCAAAGUAUAUCAAGUUUUGAUUAUUUAUAGAGAUACACUGAAAGAUGGAACUCAAAGAGGGAGGAAGAGAAGGGAUUCAAGACUGAUGCCCCGGGCUCUGGCUUGAGCAACUGGAGUGGCAGUGUAAUAUUCACCAGGAAAGAAAAUUCAGGAGGAUGAGAUGCAGGAGAAUCAGGUAAUGAACCUGCUGUUUAUGAGGAGUCUGUGGUUCCUAUGAGCCAUUCGAGUGGAGAUGUUCAGUUAGAUGGUCAUGUCUAGAUUUUUAAUUAUGAUAGGAGAUGAAACUUUAACUGGCAUGCCUUGAAUGAAUAAUUAAGCUUCAUGAAUGACUGGUAUAGAAAGUCUGUUGGAGGAAAGAGAAAAUAAAUGUACAGUGAGUUAGAAGGAAAAGAUCUUCAGUCCACAUCACAGCCUGAGUCAAGGCCACAUUUUUAAGAUAAAACUUUCCUCCCCACCUUUAUUCAUGCCAAUCUCCAAAUUACAGUUAGAGUUCUUUUAGUACCAAACUGCUUGUGGUUCUCCAUACUGGCUCGGGUCUCUGUUUCUUGGUUAUUCAUCAGCUAUUGAUUUUAUUGUUUCCUUUGCCUAAAAAAUCAGUUCCUCCUUCUUUAUCUGGCUAUUGCUUAAAAAUCUUUAAAUGUCACCUGGAGAUUGUCCACUCCAGGAAGACUUAAUUUGAGCCUCCUUGGUUGAGUUGCUACCCUUCUCCUCCCUUCUCAUAGCUUUUGUUUGUGUCUGUCCUAACUCUUCUCACAUGACACUGGAAUCAUUUGCCUACUUGGCUCAUCAUACAGACUGUUCUGGGAGAUCAAGGACUGGGUAGCAUGUUAUAUCACCCAGGAAUCCAGUUCUGAGAUGAAAUUUAGUGUACGAGGAUGUUCCGUAGGAGCGGUCUUGGGAUCAUCACCUGUGAAAAGAAGGAAACGGGAGUGGGCAGAGCAGGAAGUCAGUCUCUCAUGCAAACCCAGCAGCUGACUCACUGACACCGAGAAGCACUGUGGAGAGAGCAUGGCCCUUAGAGUUGUUGUUCCAAAUUGGGGUGACAUGGCCAGACCUUUUGGCAGAAGGACCCCAUCCGUCACUGGCUAGGAACAGCCCAGGAAGGGGCGAGGCAGCUCUGCGGCAGUGCGGUAGUGAAGCAGAUGGUAACCCCACAGCCAGGCACACAUACUUUCUCAGAGGGCUCAGGGCGGUGCACUGCACACUGUGUUUUCUUUCCUUUCCUAGGGCCACCAGUGUAUGUGGUACAUGGUAGACCACAUUGGAGACAAGCAGGACCCAUUUGGCUAGUAGACAAGUACUGUUCUGUUCACUCAUACAGCUUUUAAAAAAUAGUUGUCAACAUUUAAAAAUUGGAAGAUUUACAUAUAAAUCAUCAUGGUUUCUAGCUUUUCUUGGAAACAUCAAGAGCUGUGGCAACACUGGGUGUCUUCUGAGAUGCAGCCGUGCACAAGAGCUGAGCAGUGGUCAUCCUUCUCAUCCAGGCUGUUCCUCCACGCGGAGCUCCACUUAUUGCAUGCAUCUGCUCCCCGU
rnacentral:lncRNA from 1 species